rnacentral:rRNA from 1 species
UACGUAGGGACCAAGCGUUGUUCGGAUUUACUGGCGUAAGGGCGCGUAGGCGGCAAUUCAAGUCAUCUGUGAAAUUUCCGGGCUUAACUCGGAACGGUCAGAUGAUACUGCUUUGCUAGAGUACAGAAGGGGCAAUCGGAAUUCUUGGUGUAGCGGUGAAAUGCGUAGAUAUCAAGAGGAACACCUGAGGUGAAGACGGGUUGCUGGG